CUCCCUCUGUCUCUCUGUAUCCGUGUCUAACAGAAACGUUUUAUGGCUGGGGUGUGUGUGUGUGUGUGUGUGUGUGUGUGUGUGUGUGUGUGUGUGUGUGUGUGCGCGUGUUGUAGAGGCCCAACUAACCAAUUCCUUUCGGUUUGAUCCUGUCUAGUUUUCCUUCUCGAAUCUCCCGGGAAGUUCAGCCCCUUACUGCGCCAGGCCCCAGAAGCGUCAGGUGCGUUCAAGGCGGGCGGGCCUGGAUGAGUCCGAGUCAGACGAAUUCGACUGAGAAUUUGGUCUUUCGGCAGGGGGCCGGCGGUAGGCAGUACACGCUUCCAGCUUCCCGCUGCUACUACAGAGUAAGUCCGGAGCUAAGAGAAACGAAAUCAGCGAUGGAUGAGAGGGAAGUGAAGCUGGGGGCGGAGGCGGGGAGGGCUGGCAGUGAGCCAGCCCCAGGCCAAGAGCUGGGAGCGUCGGCAGGAGCAAAUCAAGGAAUCAAGGUCGGACGCUGCUAAUCUGGAGCCGAGAAUUUCCCUCUAUCCAUAGACAGGGCCCAAUUAAGUGUGGAAGAGACUAAGAGAAAGGAAGGAAGGACCGAAGAAAUGAAGGAAGAUGAAGGAAUGGAUCGAGGGAAUAACAUAAGGGACCAGAGACAAGACAAAGAGAAGAAGCCAGAUAGUAGAGACGAAGGAAACAGAGAGGGAGGAGGAGCAGACAGAAAGGAGGCCAGGGCAGUUGAGGAGGGACAGGUAGACAAGGCAGAAGGACAAGAGUGAGGAAGGGAACAGAAAGGCACAAGGGAGAGGAAGACACAGCAGAGGACAAGAUAAGAUAGAGGCAGACCUGCCCAAGAAAGACGGACCAAAGAAUGACUAGGCGCAUGAGACUUAGAACUCGAAGGGACCUUAAAGGUCAUGGAGUCCAAAUCUCUCAUUUUACAGAUGAGGAAACUAAGGCUCCAUUAAGGUAAAUCUCUUGCUCCCCCUUCACACAGUGCUGGAGACAGGAUUCGAACCCAGGUUUUCCUCACUUUAAGAGUACCCUCUUAGAGUACCCUCUAUUCGUCACACACUGCCGCUUAGUCAGGAAAAAGAAGAAAGUGAAAACUCAAAAUUUGCCUGGAGCUUUAGUGGAAGAAAGUGAAUUGAGUAGUGAAGUGUCUAGUCAAGAGUGGGGCAAGUCAGUCUUUAUCUCUGGGCUUCUGUCUCCUGAUUUCUAAAACGAGGGAACUGGAGUACGUGAACUCCAAGCUGACAUGUCGGGGUUCUGAUGAUGAGAUUCUCUCAAGGGAAGAAUGAAGAAGGGGCCUGUCUUCUUCUUAGAGCGCCAUUCUAUUCUGCACCUCUACUCCCCUACCCCACUUGUCCCGUGGAAGAAUGAGCCUUCCUCUCCUUCCAUCACCUCCCAGGACUGGGGGCCCCAGGUGAGGACGCAACGACACCGUGAUAAGGCUUCACUCCCAGGAACUCGAAGUACCGCUGGUAAGGGCUAAGCUCGUUCAAACUUCCCCUUGUU
rnacentral:lncRNA from 1 species